GCAAAAGAGAAGUGGUCCCCUCGUCUUGCUAAUCGCAUUUGUCCGAAGACUCAUCAGGACUUGUGUGCCCCUCUUCUUCGUCAUCAUGUGUAUAUACGUGCUUCCACGAUUUGUAACUGGACCCGAUACCAAGGGUUGCUUUCAGAAGCUUGAAGAAGAGAUUGCUGAAACCUGGUGGGCUCUGCUUUUGCAGAUAAGGAAUUUCUUGGCAAUGGAUGAACGGCAUCCUUCUGACAACCUUCAACUUCUACUACCUGCGGCCCUUCUAUCAUGCCGUAUGCUUCUUCGGUGGCUGCAUGACUUUGCUUAUCUUGGAUAACUUGAAGAACCGUAAAAUUUCUAAGGCCAAGCACGUGGCCUGCUGUUUCCUGGCCGUUACAUGCGCGUUCUGCGUGAUCUUCAUGAAGCUUCCCUGGUACAGCCGCCGUGAUCCUACUACAGGAGCAGUGAAACUGGUGGCAGCCUUCUUUGAGCGAGUCCUGUGGUCCUUGUUUCUCUCCUUGUUCACUUUAACUUGUGCAACGGGAAGGGGCGGUGAGAACGUUCUAGCCAUUCUAAUUUAGUUGGCAUAUGCUAUCCCCUGAAACGAUUUCAGGAAACAUCUAUGUCCCUGUUUGCUCUUGCAUGCUCUGAGGCACAUUGAAAUUCCA